UAGGGAAUCUUCGGCAAUGGACGGAAGUCUGACCGAGCAACGCCGCGUGAGUGAAGAAGGUUUUCGGAUCGUAAAGCUCUGUUGUAAGAGAAGAACGAGUGUGAGAGUGGAAAGUUCACACUGUGACGGUAUCUUACCAGAAAGGGACGGCUAACUACGUGCCAGCAGCCGCGGUAAUACGUAGGUCCCGAGCGUUGUCCGGAUUUAUUGGGCGUAAAGCGAGCGCAGGCGGUUAGAUAAGUCUGAAGUUAAAGGCUGUGGCUCAACCAUAGUUCGCUUUGGAAACUGUCAAACUUGAGUGCAGAAGGGGAGAGUGGAAUUCCAUGUGUAGCGGUGAAAUGCGUAGAUAUAUGGAGGAACACCGGUGGCGAAAGCGGCUCUCUGGUCUGUAACUGACGCUGAGGCUCGAAAGCGUGGGGAGCGAACAGGAUUAGAUACCCUGGUAGUCCACGCCGUAAACGAUGAGUGCUAGGUGUUGGGUCCUUUCCGGGAUUCAGUGCCGCAGCUAACGCAUUAAGCACUCCGCCUGGGGAGUACGACCGCAAGGUUG
rnacentral:rRNA from 1 species